rnacentral:rRNA from 1 species
GACGAACGCUGGCGGCGGGCUUAACACAUGCAAGUCGAACGGAAAGGCCCUGCUUUUGUGGGGUGCUCGAGUGGCGAAAGGGGGGGUAACACGUGAGUAGCCUGCCCUUGACUUUGGGAUAACUUCAGGAAACUGGGGCUAAUACCGGAUAGGAGCUCCGGCUGCAUGGUGGGGGGUGGAAAGUGUCGGCGGUUGGGGAUGGACUCGCGGCUUAUCAGCUUGUUGGUGGGGUAGUGGCUUACCAAGGCUUUGACGGGUAGCCGGCCUGAGAGGGUGACCGGCCACAUUGGGACUGAGAUACGGCACAGACUCCUACGGGAGGCAGCAGUGGGGAAUAUUGCACAAUGGGCGGAAGCCUGAUGCAGCAACGCCGCGUGCGGGAUGACGGCCUUCGGGUUGUAACCCGCUUUCGCCUGUGACGAAGCGUGAGUGACGGUAAUGGGUAAAGAAGCACCGGCUAACUACGUG